rnacentral:lncRNA from 1 species
GUGAAAAGGGUAUAUACACAGUGGUAACAAGACUAACAAGAUAACGAGGGGGUGGAGCUGGAAAUCAGGACACAAGAGGUUUAUCCAGGUUAACAUUAGAGAGGCCAUAAUCUGGUUUGCCUCCUGGAAAAAUUCAAGAAAUGGUUGACUGGAUGAAGGUACAUAAGUAUCCAGUCUCUGAAGUUGAAGGUUAUAUGAAGGACACAGCCAUAUACAGAGGCGAGUGGAUUCACAGCAAUGGGUCUAAAAGCAUUCCAGAAAUCUUGACGGAGUUCCCCAGACUUCUAGACAAUCCUGGCAUGAUUUCACAAGACUUUAGGAAGCUAUAUCCAGAGGCAGACAGAAAACUUUUUGAAGACUGGGCUACAAUUGCAGACCGAAUUCUUGCCUAUGCCCAGCGAGAUGGAAAGGUGCAUUUAGAGCUGGGUGACAUGACUCGAGAUGCUAAAGGGGAGAGUGCUUUCAAAGUCCUGCCCACUCUGCUUCCCCCAUCAAUAUACAAGAAAGGAGGAAAGGUCUUUAGACCCACAACCACGGAAUCCCGGAAGUCAUUCAUUGAUGUACAACCUGUGGGGACCAACAUGGUGGAAUAUUUGCAAAAUGCAGAGACCAGUGAUGUAUUCCUGCACAUUUUGUGCCUUGGGGACGAGGCAAUGACAUCCCAGACCUUCGCCAUUGUUUUGGGCCAUGCCAUUGCAACUGACUCGUUGCUUGAGGCUGUUGAUCUGUGUUUCAAGUCCUUUUUUGUGCUUGAUGUUAACUACACUAAGCAGUGUCUUCCUACCUGGGAAUUUCUCCAGCAUGCAGUAUAUCGUAUUGAUGGACAUGAGUCUUCAUGUGUGAAGUUUUUGAGGGCAACAGUUUUUUCUGGACACUUGUAACAUGUUUUAAGUUGUCACAUGUAUUGUCUGUUGUUUGGACUCUUUGUUUGGCUUAGUUUUAAUGGUACAAUGUUUGGACUGAUUCUCAUGUGGCAAUAAUCAAUUUUUGAGUGUUCUAAUGCUGCAAUGUUGAAUCUACAGUGCCUAGUUCACACAGUUUUGUGUUUUAAAGAAACUGAUCUACAAAAACUUGUUUUAUCUGUGUCUGUAGGUGUUGGAUGAAAUGUAUGACAAUUGCACCCAUUCAAAAAAUUGUUAAAAAGAAAUGUAAAAACUCAUUAAAUUAAUAUUUACAAUUGC